UUAAUGGCUUUGAGGCUAUCUCAUUUUCAUUAUACCAGAAGCACAACUGAUUAGAUACAAUCAGCAACACCAUAGCAUUAAGUACAUCUUAGAAAAUGACAAUUUGUAGUAGUUAUUAAUCUAUCACCUUUAACUCUGUGA
rnacentral:pre_miRNA from 1 species